GACAGAGGCCUCAAGCGUUAGGCGGAAUCACUGGGCUUAAAGCGUGCGCAGGCGGUUCUAUAAGACAGAUGUGAAAUCCCCGGGCUCAACCUGGGAACUGCAUUUGUGACUGUAGAGCUGGGAGUACGGCAGAGGGGGAUGGAAUUCCGCGUGUAGCAGUGAAAUGCGUAGAUAUGCGGAGGGAACACCCGAUGGACGGAAGGCAGCCCCUGGGUCAAGAUUGACGCUCGAUGCACGAAAGCGUGGGAGCAAACAGG
rnacentral:rRNA from 1 species